CACGUAGGGCGCGAGCGUUGUCCGGAAUUAUUGGGCGUAAAGAGCUCGUAGGCGGCCUGUUGCGUCCGCUGUGAAAGCCCGGGGCUUAACCCCGGGUCGGCAGUGGAUACGGGCAGGCUAGAGGUAGGUAGGGGAGAAUGGAAUUCCCGGUGUAGCGGUGAAAUGCGCAGAUAUCGGGGAGGAACACCGGUGGCGAAGGCGGUUCUCUGGGCCUUACCUGACGCUGAGGAGCGAAAGCGUGGGGAGCGAACAGG
rnacentral:rRNA from 1 species